GUACUUCCUGUAAUCGACUCCGGUUGAUCCUGCCGGACCCGACUGCUAUCGGAAUGGGAUUUAGCCAUGUUAAUCAUGCGUUCCUCGAGUGCGAGGGACGCGGUGUACGGCUCAGUAACACGUAGUCAACCUACCCUAGAGACGCGGACAAACCCGGGAAACUGGGGCUAAUACGCGAUAGGUCAUAUCAUCUGGAAGGAGAUAUGGCCGAAAAGGAUGGUGCGGGCUUCUUCCGCAUCAUUCGCUCCAGGAUGGGACUGCGGCCGAUCAGGCUGUUGGCGGGGUAAUGGCCCACCAAACCUGUAACCGGUACGGGCUUUGAGAGAAGGAGCCCGGAGAUGGACACUGAGACAAGGGUCCAGGCCCUACGGGGCGCAUCAGGCGCGAAAACUUCGCAAUGCGCGAAAGCGUGACGAGGCUAUUCCGAGUGUUUUCCGCUUAGGAGAACUUUUCUUAGCU
rnacentral:rRNA from 1 species